rnacentral:ncRNA from 1 species
GUGUUGUAUGAAAGAUUAGCCCUCCCCUUGACAAGGAUGGAAGAGGCACUUGAGUCUAACAACGAGCAUCGAACCAUAGUUUGUGGUUUUUU